AUAUACACCGGGUGAUGUCCCUAGGAAGUAGAUUCUAGCUUGAUUCCCAUGGUGCAGGUUUAGAGACUGGGGAGGACCUGAGAGGCACAAGGACUAUCCCAGGAUGAAGAAAUAGUAAGGAAAAGGAGGUCUGCAUUCAUCUCUGUCUCCUCAAAACUAGGUCCCUAGUUAGGUUUCCAGGGACCUGUGGGUAGGGCUAUGUGGUCUCAUUGUGUACAGUUCAAGAGAUGACGUGGGGUCAUAGACCUCAACAGAUCUUAGAACUCUGGUAACCAGGCACCCACAUUGCCCCAUCCAGCUCACUUGAUUGGAGACAGUCAACAGGCAAAGAUGUUUUGUUGUUGUUUCCCAACUUUUGGAGGAUCUGGGCUCAAAAAAUCCCAGAAAGAGAAUCUUUUUGGUAGUUGGCGAUGUUGGCUCAGCCUUAAUUCUUGACGCCUCUGGGCAUCUGGUAGGAGGCAGUGAAAGGUAACACGGGGCAGCCCAGGAGAGGCUAGUGCAGGCCAGGGCACAGCUGUGAUCCCACCUGAUCAGCCCCACACCCCUUGCCCCUCUUUGUGUGUGUGUGUGUGUGCAUGUGUCUGUGAGGAGGAGAGAAGGCAGGACAUAAGGGGCGGGUCAUUCCUGAGCAGGAGCUGGUUGUUAGGUGUCGGAAACCUAACAGCUAGGUCAUGUUCAUACCUCAGGCCAUGCCUGGCAGCAUGAGAAGGUGAGCUCCUCUACUCACAUUGUUACCGAGCACUAGAGGAUUCAUCUCCUUCCCUCCCUGACCAGAGUUCUUUGCAGGGAUGCCCCUCUGUGCCUGAACUGAGGAACAGAUAUUCUCUUGGCGGUUGGCCCCAGUGGCAGUGUGCAGGCAGCCCCUGAUUUCUUCUGGCCCAGUUCCCAGGCAGUCUUUGCAGAACUCCACCCAGGAGGUUGUUGAGUAACUGCCCAAUGGUUUCAACUCCACCAACUCACUAGACAAGGGGCAGGUACAUGAGGCCACCCACACUUUGCAGUGCUGCUCUGAGAUGAGAGCAGGAGCAGAGGGUCUCCACACUCAGGAGCUUGAGAUGACGGGGUUGGACUAGAACUAGGGAGGGACCAGACUCAGGCUGUCCCUUUUUUAAGCUAAAGGGGAUGUACAUGAAUGUCAUCUUGCCUGGUUAGGAGAUGAGCUGCCGUGACCCUCUUACCCUUGUCCGGUGUGAGCUUCUGGAGGCCACUGAGGCAGAGUCAGAUGGUAAGGGGGACUGCAGGCUAGGUAUUCCUGGAAGGGAGUGGGAUCUUUCCUGUGUUUAGAAGGACACAUGGAAAGUCAGCUAUGUGGGUGAAUCUUUCUUUUUAUCCCACUCCAGCGUCAGCUGCAGAGCUCCAGCCAGCGGCAGAAGAAGAGCAGUGGGCAGUGGUGGAGGUAGAGCUGGCUCCAGCUCCGUUGACACCACCCCCUCUAGCACUGGAGCCAGUGUCCCCUCCACCAGCAGUGUUGGAGGUGGAGCAAGGGCCAACAUGGGCUCCAGCAGGAGUAGGAGCUGCUUAGCUGGAGUCACCUGGACCAUCAUUUCUAGUGAGAAGUCCAUCUCCACCUGUGGCUCUUAAGGAGCGUGAGAAGCUUAAUCUCAUGGCCUUCCCUCCUAAGCUGGUGGUGGAGCAGUUUACCAUGAUGGAUGCGGCUCCACCCUUUACCAAUCAUAAAACCUGGGCAACUUUCUGAACACCCAAGCCUUUGCUGUCCACCUGCAGACCAUGGAGGUGGACAUUAAGAGGACCUGCUGCACAGAGUGACUGUGCCAACUCCAUGAGGUAGAAGAGACAGAAAGCUGGGUGGGCCCUGGCCCAUCUGUGCAGGGAAGGGCUCACUGUGUACAGCCUGGACCCUGGUGGCCCAACCGUCUGCUCAGGAGGCUCAAUAGCCUCAGGACUUAUUAGACGCCUGAUGUGUACUCCACUACAAGGGAGACAGACAAGGCCUGUGGGUGUAGCUGCCACGCGGGGAUGUGCAUCAGAAUGUGGAGUGGGACCAGAGGGGGGAUCAGGGUAUUGGAAGAUGCCCCCUUGGGA